UUGAGCUUCCCUAUCUGCAAAAGCCUAAAUUUCUCUUAACUCACCUUGUGCUUCCGCCGCGCCGCCUCUUCCUUCAUCGCCUCUUCGUCACUGUCUUCGUCACCGACGAAGCUUACUCCCUCUCACUCUCUUUCACCGACUCAGUUUACUCUCUCACCGACACCCCUACUCACCGCUUCCAUCGCCUCUUUCACCUCAGAGAUUUCACUCGUGAUUUGCAUCACACCUGAAAUUGAACACCAGUUCUUCAAGUCCGACAGAGACAGACACCAUCAGCCUUCAUAUUCAAGACUGUCGGACAAUUUGAGCCAGUAAUCACAAUCCGGGCAUGUACGGCGUCGCAUUGAAGCCUCAGCUACUGCGGUCACUUCUUAGGGAAUACAUCCCAGACGAAAAACACUCCUUCAGAAACUCUUUGGACGUCUCUCACGCCGUAUCUGCCGUUAAAACUCAUCAUCUCCUCUGGGAAUGGGCCCCAUCUUCCACCGACCAAAAGCUCAGUGACGGCUGGAAGUCGGCCGUCGAUGCCUGGGUCAAUCGGGUCUCCGCCCUUGCUUCCAGCAGCAUGCCAGAUAAAUCCUGGGCUGGAAUAUGCUUGC